rnacentral:rRNA from 1 species
GAACUUUCCAGAGAUGGAUUGGUGCCUUCGGGAACUUAGAUACAGGUGCUGCAUGGCUGUCGUCAGCUCGUGUCGUGAGAUGUUGGGUUGAGUCCCGCAACGAGCGCAACCCUUUUCCUUAUUUGCCAGCGGGUCAUGCCGGGAACUUUAAGGAUACUGCCAGUGACAAACUGGAGGAAGGCGGGGACGACGUCAAGUCAUCAUGGCCCUUACGGCCAGGGCUACACACGUGCUACAAUGGUCGGUACAAAGGGUUGCUACCUCGCGAGAGGAUGCUAAUCUCAAAAAGCCGAUCGUAGUCCGGAUCGCAGUCUGCAACUCGACUGCGUGAAGUCGGAAUCGCUAGUAAUCGCGGAUCAGAAUGCCGCGGUGAAUACGUUCCCGGGCCUUGUACACACCGCCCGUCACACCAUGGGAGUUUGUUGCACCAGAAGUAGGUAGUCUAACCGCAAGGAGGACGCUUACCACGGUGUGGCCGAUGACUGGGGUGAAGUCGUAACAAGGUAAGCGUAGAUGA